CCCCUCGCAAGGCCGUGUUGCGGUUUUCGACCUUCUGUGCCAGUUCCAUUAACUCGUCCACUGACUGGUACGAGAACAGUUUACAUUCUUCCCCUACUUCUGGUUUCAGCCCAUUCAAGAAGAGAUCCAUCAGCAAUUCUGGUGCAAUUCCACGGAGGGGCCGCGCGUGAAGCACGAACUGGUCAACAUAGUCCCGCACUGAGUUCGUCUGUUUCAGCUUCAGCAGCGCUUGAUAAGGGCUCUGUAGCCGUUCCGGUUGAAAAUGCCGCAGCAGCGCCGCACUGAAAAACCGCCACUGCAACACCGGCGCCGUCGCCUCCCACCACCUGAACCACGUGAAUGCCCUUCCUUCCAUUGCAAAGGUGGCGACCGUGAGCCAUUCCUCCUCUGGCACUGAGCGCAGCAAGAAGAAUUGCUCCAUGCGUUGAACCCAAACCACUACGUCGUCUCCGCGGAAGAUCGGAAGUUCCAGCUUUCGCCAUUGCUCCGGCGCUCCGCGGCUUCCGGCCGAUGAGCCUGCGGCCAAGUGCGAUCCCGGUGAACCACGCUCAUUCCGAUUAGGCACGCGAUUUUCAAACGCAUCAAUUCGAGAAUCGAAGCGCUGUAGCGUCUCCUGCAUCGAUCGGAACAUCUCCUCCAUGCGCGAUUCAAUCGUGUCAAAUCGUGACUCCAUUUUUCUCGAUCUCGAUUGCACCAUUCAGCGUCGGGAUCCUCAAGCUCUUGAUACCAGUUGAUAGGACCAGUAGUAGCAGAAUGAUCAAGCUUUAUUGAUAUACCGGGAUGGCCAAUUAGCUCUCCCUAGAAGGUUCUACACAGCUGGAACUACCAGCUCUGAGAGAGAGAGAUCCUCUCCAAUUUCUAGCAGAAUUCGUAACAGAAAAACCAUGCCCCCUAAACUACUAUAUCCUAGCUAUUUAUAACAACCUAUCAGCCAGCUGGAUAUCCUAACAACUCCUAAAACACUUCUACUUUACCUCUACUUACCUCUCCUUUUGUAACACAGUCCAAAUUUGUUAGUAGUAGGCGCCUCUCUAUCAUAUUCACUUAAUGUUUUCAACUUCAAGACACCUCAGUUUCAGUAGUAAUUAGUUUUCUGUAUCUUAUUUGAUGCUAUGCAGCUUAGAGGUUUUGAAUUUGUAAAAGCUCUUACUUUGGUGCCUGAACCAUUUACGAUAGAAAAUGGUCUUCUGACACCAACAUUCAAGGUUAAGAGGCCUCAAGCUAGGGAAUACUUUGGCAAAGCAAUAUCUGAUAUGUACGAUGAGCUUUCAAGAAACGAUCCUACUCAAAAGCCAUUGUGAAAUUGAGGAUCUCCUUCCCUAUCCGCAAACUGGAAACAUUGGCCUAACUGGAAAGUUCCUGCAUGUUUUUGCUGUGUUGUAUUGUCUCGUGAUUUGUUCAUAUUCUUCUCUAUCUUUUAGAUUUUUGAAUAGUAUAUUAUUAUUUAUUACAAUUAUAAUAAGAUGCAUUCUUUCUUUGGUUUUUGGGUAACAUAAGAUGUCUCCUUCAUUCGGUGGUUCAUCACCACUUAUCAUCAAGAUAGACUUCUGGCUUAAUUAUUGUUAUUUUGAUCCUAAAA